GUGGCAGACCAGUUAGGUUCGCAAUAUUCUAAACCAACUAGUGUUGAUCAGCAAACUGACUGAAAGAUAUAUUGUGUACAGAGGAGCUUCUACAAGAGAGGAGAUGGCUAAUGUGUGCAGAGGGCUGUGUUUAUGGGGAUGGGAGUUUGCUGGUGUGUGCAGAGGGCUGUGUUUAUGGGGAUGGGAGUUUGCUGGUGUGUGCAGAGGGCUGUGUUUAUGGGGAUGGGAGUUUGCUGCUGUGUGCAGAGGGCUGUGUUUAUGGGGAUGGGAGUUUGCUGCUGUGUGCAGAGGGCUGUGUUUAUGGGGAUGGGAGUUUGCUGGUGUGUGCAGAGGGCUGUGUUUAUGGGGAUGGGAGUUUGCUGCUGUGUGCAGAGGGCUGUGUUUAUGGGGAUGGGAGUUUGCUGGUGUGUGCAGAGGGCUGUGUUUAUGUGGAAGAGAGGAGUUUGCUGAUGUGUGGAGAGGGGUGUGUUUAUGUGGAAGAGAGGAGUUUGUUGAUGUGUGGAGAGGGGUGUGUUUAUUCCUGUAGACCUCUAUACAGCUCUGCAGUGUUGAGUGGAGAUCUUUCUCUGUUUUGGGGAAAGGGGAGUGGUUUGAAGGAGAGGGAAGGAGACAGAGAUGAAGGAGGGGGAUAGGGUAUGUUCGAUAGAGAGUUUGGAGGUUAUGCAUGUAGAAGCAUUGAAGGCAGUGUGACGCUGCAGUAUUUAUAAUAUUGCUAUUUGAAUUCCCACCAACAGAUGGCAGGAGAUAUUGCUGAGGAUACAGUCUGCCUCUUGGAAACCAAACACGUGACACAUUCCUUACAUACAGAUUUACCAAACACUGGCGCACACAGAUUAAAACGAGGGCAGCACUAAGACUCUUCACUGAUUGGUCGUGUCCCGUCCCCCCGUCCCCCCCACCACCUUAUCUACAUUCCGCACGGCAUCACAAACUUGGAAGCAGCUUUUCAGCUCCAAGAUUUGUGUUCGUGUGAAGGAACCGAUAGAAUUAAUAUUCUCCAUUGGAACCUCAAAGCGCUGUGCGCGUUUAAGCCUCGCCUGGUGCUGGGUGUGCUGGUAAUGUGUUUGUAAGCGCAGUGGGGUGCCUGUAAUCACGGCGAGAGCAGAGUUUCUCUUUCCCUGCCCUGUCGGUCUCCAUGCUGGGGCAGGGAGUCCAGUGUUGUCACAGUAAGCGUGUCCCAAUGGAUGUCUUGUUCUGGUUUAUUUGUCAUGUCAGCCACCAACACAUUCCUGAUGGUCUUCUACAAGCAGAGCAGCACAGCACACACACAGGGAGCUGUAGUUAAUCAUGAAAUCGAUUUAUUUGAUUUAAAAAAAAAACAAAAAACGUUCAGGUUCAUUUCCAGCCACCGUGACAACACGGCGCCUUCAUAUAGGAACACUCACACAGGUACAGAGUCAAAACACACGCAAAAGAGGGUCGUUAAAAACACUGUCAGCAGCGCACGCCGACCACACUUCCAAACGGGUUACUGCAGAGUUUAAUUAAAUACCGUGCUUUGAAAGGAGAAAGACAGCAAAUGCCUUUCCAGGACUGGAAUGAAACACGCAUUCGUGCAAUCGGAGAUCUCGCGUUCGCAACUCUGCUGUUGCAUUUAGGAGCUCAUUAAAGGGCUGCACUAAACGCUUUUGAUAAUCUGGCCCCGCGGUGUGAUUCCAAAGUCAAACAUCUUCCAUUUACACAAAACUAACCCUGAAAACCGCUGGAUAGGAUUCCAGUGACAAACUGCAAACAGGAUCUCAGCCAGCAGGGGGCGCUGUGUUGCGCCUACAAUGCUUCCCCGCUGCUGAUGCACGCUGCUAAAAACAAUGAAGUCAAUUCCUGAAUUAGUUAAUUAAAUAUUUAUUUAUUUGUGUAUUUAUUUAUUUUUUUACUAUGAAUACAUUCCUGUGCUUAGGAGAGAGGACAGAAGUUCAGAAAUAGAUUAUCGCUUUACAGCAUAAAGGUGUUUGUUUUCUAUGAUGUGAGUUUAUUUUGUUUUCAUUAAAGUUUUUUUUUUUUUUUAAUUAUUUUUAGUCAAGGUCUUUUGCAAGGCCAGGCAGUGAACCCUGGUCAGCUCUGGUACU